UAAUCCGGGUUGCGGACAGUGUCUGGUGGGUAGUUUGACUGGGGCGGUCUCCUCCUAAAGAGUAACGGAGGAGCACGAAGGUUGGCUAAUCCUGGUCGGACAUCAGGAGGUUAGUGCAAUGGCAUAAGCCAGCUUGACUGCGAGCGUGACGGCGCGAGCAGGUGCGAAAGCAGGUCAUAGUGAUCCGGUGGUUCUGAAUGGAAGGGCCAUCGCUCAACGGAUAAAAGGUACUCCGGGGAUAACAGGCUGAUACCGCCCAAGAGUUCAUAUCGACGGCGGUGUUUGGCACCUCGAUGUCGGCUCAUCACAUCCUGGGGCUGAAGUAGGUCCCAAGGGUAUGGCUGUUCGCCAUUUAAAGUGGUACGCGAGCUGGGUUUAGAACGUCGUGAGACAGUUCGGUCCCUAUCUGCCGUGGGCGCUGGAGAACUGAGGGGGGCUGCUCCUAGUACGAGAGGACCGGAGUGGACGCAUCACUGGUGUUCGGGUUGUCAUGCCAAUGGCACUGCCCGGUAGCUAAAUGCGGAAGAGAUAAGUGCUGAAAGCAUCUAAGCACGAAACUUGCCCCGAGA
rnacentral:rRNA from 1 species